CCUAGACUUUCUCCUCAGGAGAUCCUUUAUCCUCCUGCUGGUUUGCUGGAGAGAAGUGAGUUCUCACUCUGCUUCAUGUGUCUGGAGGGCACACACCUGUCAGACUGUCACAUCCUGCUAAGAUGUGUCCAGCCCCAUUUGUGUUACAUCUGAAGAACUCUGUGCUACUGGAAUGCCAGGAAUGACAGUGGAAAGGCUGGUGGUAAAGGUGUGAUGAGGACUGUAGUCUGUUCUACUCCAAAAGUUUCUGCCUCCCCUGUGUGAAGGAAAACCUAAAGGCUUUUCCUUUUGAAAUACAAGAAGACAUGGAUAAAAGGAAGCCCCAGCAGAAAUCCUGCAAAAAAAACCGGAUACAAAGCAUAAAUCUUGAAGGACCAAGAGAGACAUUUCUUUAGCUGGGGUUUCUCCUGUCUCUGCUUGGAGACUAUCAUGUUGCUCCUUUUAAAGCAGUGACCUUCAUCAGCUCACUACUACUGGAGAGGGCAGCACAUUUCCUUGCCCUUGGCUUGGGUUCAGACAUCCCUGUGCAGCGCCGGCCGCGCCGGGAGCGGCUCCGAGGUGCUGAGGAGCCAGAAGGGAAAGCUGCUGUCACCCUGGGAAAUGCUUGCAGGGAGAAACCAAACAGCACACAGCACAGGGACCACGUCCAGAUCCUCACAUUGGCUGUUUUAGUGCUUUGUGUUGUUCUUGACACUCCUACAGUGUUAUGAAAUCCCGAAAUAGUUCGAUCUGGCUUAAUUCAGUAUAUAGCCAAGAAAAUCAGUGUACACCAAUUGUUAAUCUGGCAGUGCUGUCUUGGUGAGAUUACAUUAGGCAGGGAAUUUAAAGCUUUAUUUUUAGGUCUAAAAUAAAAGUGCUGUGAGAAAAUGUCAUAAAUAUAAUAUCUAAAUUUUUCAAUAUGGUAAUCUUAAUGCUAUCACAGCAUCGAGACUUGAGGCUCUGCAAGUUGGUGCUUCUGCAAUUACUAAAAGUAUUUACAAAUCCCUUGU